UGAGCAAUCUGCCCUUCUCAUCGGAAUAAGCGUUGGAAACGACGUCUAAUGCCGUAUACGACCUCCUUUCGCAUGAUCGGAGGUGGAAAGCUCCGGCGGAGAAGGAUGAGCUCGCGGCCUAUCAGCUAGUUGGUGAGGUAACGGCUCACCAAGGCGACGACGGGUAGCUGGUCUGAGAGGAUGGCCAGCCACAUUGGGACUGAGACACGGCCCAGAUCCGUAACGGGG
rnacentral:rRNA from 1 species